AGCCCCGGCCAUGGCAGAGCCCAAGCUCGCCGUGUGCAGGAAGAACCGCUCCAGCUCGGAGCGCAAGCGGAGACGCGCCCUAGUGCAGCCCGUCGCCGCCAGCUCGCCGAUGGCUCGCAAGAGACCGAGUUCUGAUGGCGAGGGGCCCCCGGCGGAGGCCCCGUUCAGUAACGACAGCGAGGAGGAUAUGUUUGGUGACUAUGACAGCUUUUAUGGAAACGAUUCAUUGAUAGCUCAAGUGGCUGAUAUUGAACACAAAUACCUGCAGGAUAAAAAUAUAGAUGUGAAAGCAGCUGGAGAGAUUGUACUUGGGAACCUUCAGUCAGGAGUUCACCAGAAAGAGCAAGAUAACUUCUCUGCUUCACAAAAUGUGGUUGUCCUUAAAAGUGAUAAAGAGGGUGCCUGCCAAAUGUGUGACAGUGACCCAGCUGAUGGCAAUCAAGAAUUAGCAGAGUCUGUUUUAGAUGACUUGCCAUCGUCGCAACUUCUGUGUUUUGAAAAAAUGGAUGAACUUCCUUCUGCUUCUAGAACAUCUCCAAUCUCAGAAGGGAGGAAUGAAUGUGUGAAUUCUUUCUCAGACAAAAUCAGAGACCCAUUGUCUUAUGCUGGUGCUGAACACAGGGACAGACCUACUGACUCUUCCUCACGCUCCAAGUGUGUUCUAUUUAAAUCUGAGAGUCUCAAAGAUCACCUGAAAAGUGCUAUGACUGGAAAUGCCAGAGCCCAGACUCUGCAGGUCUCCAAGACUAAGCAGCUCAAAGAAGCUGUUUUAUCUGAAGAGAUUUUUGUGGCUAGGAAAGCUAUUGAAUCUUCUUCUCUUGAUAUAGGCCCUUUUUAUGGAUUACCUAGCAAGGUUAAAGAGUUAUUCAGACAACUUCGAGGGAUUGAAACACUUUAUGAGUGGCAGCAUGAUUGCUUAAUGUUAGAGUCCCUACAGCAAAGGAAGAACUUGAUAUACUCAUUGCCAACCAGUGGUGGAAAAACUCUUGUAGCUGAAAUAAUAAUUCUCCAAGAAUUACUCUGCAGGCAGAAGGAUGUUCUGAUGAUCCUGCCAUAUGUUGCCAUUGUCCAAGAAAAGGUUAGGGGUUUAUCGAGUUUUGGGAUAGAAUUGGGUUUCCUGGUUGAAGAAUAUGCAGGAAGUAAAGGAAGAUUUCCACCAAUCAAAAGGAGAAUAAAAAAAUCUCUUUAUAUUGCUACUAUAGAAAAAGGACAUGCUCUGGUGAACUCCUUAAUUGAAACAGAAAGAAUCAAUGACCUCGGCCUGGUUGUGGUAGAUGAGCUGCAUAUGCUCGGGGCAGGAAGUCGUGGAGCAGUACUGGAAAUUACUCUGGCGAAAAUUCUUUACACCAGUAAAAAGACACAGAUCGUCGGCAUGAGUGCAACAUUAAAUAAUGUUGGAGACCUGCAGAAGUUCCUGCAAGCAGAGUACUACACUAAUAAUUUUAGACCGGUAGAAUUAAAGGAAUACAUAAAGAUACGAGACACCAUUUAUGCAGUUGACAGCAAAACACAAAAUGGCUUUGCUUUUUCACGUCUCCUUAAUUUCAAGUAUUCUAGUAAUCUAGAGAAAGCAGAUCCUGACCACAUCAUUGCACUGGUUACUGAAGUUAUUCCUAAAUAUUCCUGCCUAAUCUUUUGUCCCACUAAAAAGAAUAGUGAAAAUGUGGCUUCAAUGGUGUCCAAGUACCUCAAAAAAGAAUUUAGAGCUCACAAGGAGAAAGAAAAACAAGAUCUCAUCAAGAACCUAAAGAGCAUUGGAAAUGGAACUGUCUGUCCUGUUUUGAAGCAAACAAUCCCUUUCGGUAUUGCCUAUCACCAUAGUGGCCUUACAAAUGAUGAAAGAAAAAGCAUAGAGGAAGCUUAUUCUGCAGGUGUCCUGUGUCUGCUUGCUUGCACAGCCACUCUAGCUGCUGGAGUGAACCUACCAGCUAGAAGGGUGAUUCUCAGAGCUCCUUAUGUUGGCAAUGACUUCCUGAAGAAGAGCCAAUAUAAGCAAAUGACAGGCAGAGCUGGUCGAGCUGGUAUUGACAGUGCUGGAGAAAGUAUUCUCAUAGUGCAAGAAAAAGACAAACACUUGGUUCAGGAUUUAGUUCACAGUCCUUUGGAGAAUUGCUACAGCAAUCUUCUGCUGGAGUUGACCAAGGGAAUGCAGAGCCUGUUGUUAUCUUUGGUUGGACUGAAGAUAGCAGUUACCCAUGAAGAAGUGGACAAUUUUAUGUGCUGUACAUUGCUGGGUGUUCAGCAGCAGCUGCUGUCUAAAGAGAAGAGCUUCUCAGAGAUAAUUAAAGAUGGGCUGGAAAAUCUAAUAGAAAAAGGACUCCUAAAAGGAGGAAUAUCUGAGAAGGACCACAAUUCCAAAUCUACACUGACAAUCACACCCUUGGGUAAAGCUACAUAUAAGGGCUCAAUAGACUUGGCAUACUGCAAUAUUCUGUAUAGAGAAUUGAAAAAGGGUUUGGAGGGGCUGGUUCUCGAGAGCAAUCUUCAUCUCCUAUAUCUGUCAACUCCCUAUGAUAUGACUUCUACCUGUAGCCCAGAUUGGAUGAUAUACUUGAGACAGUUCAACCAGCUAAGUGCAGCAGAGCAAAAAGUAGCAGAUAUUGUGGGAGUACCUGAAAGCUUUAUUACAAAAAUGGCUUCUGGUCAAGCCAUCAGAAAGAAUGUGGACAAUGCUGUGGUGAACAGGUUCUACCUGACAUUUGUGCUUUAUACACUACUGAAAGAGACCAAUAUAUGGAGUGUUUCAGAGAAAUUUAACUUGUCUCGGGGAUAUGUGCAGAAUCUCCUCAAUUCUGCUGCCUCCUUUGCAUCCUGCCUUCUACAUUUCUGUGAGGAAUUGGAAGAAUUCUGGGUUUAUAAAGCCUUGCUGAUGGAGCUUACCAAGCAGUUGACAUACUGUGUUAAGACAGAACUCAUCCCUCUGAUGGAGGUAGCAGGGGUUCUAGAGGCACGAGCAAAACAGCUUUACAAUGCAGGGUACAAAACUUUAGCACACUUGGCUAAUGCAAAUCCAGAAACUUUGGUGAGGAUGAUUGAGCACUUGUCACGACGUCAAGCCAAACAAAUAAUUUCAUCUGCAAAGGUUCUGUAACAAACACUGAGUUGUGUCUAAACAAAAAAUGCAGGAAGUGCUUUAUCAAGGGAUGGUAUUCUCUCUCUAUCUCCAUUCAUGAUCUGCUGUUGCAAUGGUAUUGGCUUCACAUUUGAUUCUACUAAGAGAGAAAUGCUGCUGAGUGAAAAAGCUGAGGCUUUACAGGAAGAAGUCGAAGAACUCUUAAAAGUGCCAACGGAUAUCCCAGG